GUGGGGAAUAUUGCGCAAUGGGCGAAAGCCUGACGCAGCGACGCCGCGUGAGGGACGAAGGCCUUCGGGUUGUAAACCUCUUUCAGCAGGGACGAAGCGAAAGUGACGGUACCUGCAGAAGAAGCACCGGCCAACUACGUGCCAGCAGCCGCGGUAAUACGUAGGGUGCAAGCGUUGUCCGGAUUUAUUGGGCGUAAAGAGCUCGUAGGCGGUUUGUCGCGUCGGCUGUGAAAACUCGGGGCUCAACCCCGAGCCUGCAGUCGAUACGGGCAGACUAGAGUUCGGUAGGGGAGACUGGAAUUCCUGGUGUAGCGGUGAAAUGCGCAGAUAUCAGGAGGAACACCGAUGGCGAAGGCAGGUCUCUGGGCCGAUACUGACGCUGAGGAGCGAAAGCGUGGGGAGCGAACAGG
rnacentral:rRNA from 1 species